GUCGAACGCUGGCGGCAGGCCUAACACAUGCAAGUCGAACGGAGCGGCGGACGGGUAAGUAAUGCCUGGGAAUCAGCCUGGGGGUGGCGGAUCACUUCCGGAAACGGGAGCUUAUAACGCAUACUUGAAGAGGAGUCUCGGGGGGCUUAGCUAGUUGGAGGGGUAAAGGCUCACCAAGUCGACGAGCCUAAACUGGUCUGAGAGGAUGAUCAGUCACACGGGGACUGAGACACGGUCCAGACUCCUACGGGAGGCAGCAGUGGGGAAUAUUGGACAAUGGGCGAAAGCCUGAUCGAGCAAUGCCGCGUGUGUGAAGAAGGUCUUCGGAUUGUAAAGCCCUUUAAUUUGGGAGGCGUUAUCAACAGAGAAAGCAACGGCUAACUACGUGCCAGCAGCCGCGGUAAUAC
rnacentral:rRNA from 1 species